CCGCUUUGUGAUGUUGCAAUCACCUCCCACAUCCUCGCUAGCCUCGACAUCGACUACAGCCCCGUGGUGUCGGCACUUGCUGCACGGAUCGAGCCGGCCACAAUUCAGGAGUUGUAUAGCCAGCUUCUAAGCUUUGAUG
rfam:Hordeum vulgare subsp. vulgare, WGS project CAJW01000000 data, contig: morex_contig_41555